AUACGGAGGGUGCAAGCGUUAAUCGGAAUUACUGGGCGUAAAGCGCGCGUAGGCGGUUUGAUAAGUCGGAUGUGAAAUCCCCGGGCUCAACCUGGGAAUUGCAUUCGAUACUGUCAGGCUAGAGUGUGGUAGAGGGAAGUGGAAUUUCCGGUGUAGCGGUGAAAUGCGUAGAUAUCGGAAGGAACACCAGUGGCGAAGGCGGCUCCCUGGACCAACACUGACGCUGAGGUGCGAAAGCGUGGGGAGCAAACAGGAUUAGAAACCCUAGUAGUCC
rnacentral:rRNA from 1 species